rnacentral:rRNA from 1 species
GACCUGAAGUGGAACGAGAUUACCCGCUGAAUUUAAGCAUAUUAUUAAGCGGAGGAAAAGAAACUAACAAGGAUUCCCUCAGUAACGGCGAGUGAAGCGGGAAUAGCUCAAAGUUUAAAUCGGGUUCCAUCACGGACCUCGAGUUGUAAUCUAAAGACGUGUGGUCAGCGUGCGACCCGGGUAUAACUCUUUUGGAACAAGGGAUCAUAGAGGGUGAGAAUCCCGUCUGUGACUCGGANUUCGCCGCGUACGAUACACGUUCAAGAGUCNAGUUGCUUGGGACUGCAGCUCUNAAUG